rnacentral:rRNA from 1 species
UGGGGAAUUUUGCACAAUGGGGGAAACCCUGAUGCAGCGACGCCGCGUGGUUUAGAAGGCCUUCGGGUUGUAAAAAUCUUUUCUAUGGGAAGAAAAUGACAGUACCAUAGGAAUAAGGACCGGCUAAUUACGUGCCAGCAGCCGCGGUAAUACGUAAGGUCCGAGCGUUGCCCGGAAUCAUUGGGCGUAAAGGGUACGUAGGCGGGUAAGCAAGUUAGAAGUGAAAUCCUAUAGCUCAACUAUAGUAAGCUUUUAAAACUGCUCAUCUUGAGGUAUGGAAGGGAAAGUGGAAUUCCUAGUGUAGCGGUGAAAUGCGCAGAUAUUAGGAGGAAUACCGGUGGCGAAGGCGACUUUCUGGCCAUAACCUGACGCUGAGGUACGAAAGCGUGGGUAGCAAACAGG